CUAAGUUUGUUUGAAGCA
rnacentral:miRNA from 1 species